UACGUAGGCAGCGAGCGUUGUUCGGAGUUACUGGGCGUAAAGGGUGUGUAGGCGGUUGUUUAAGUUUGGUGUGAAAUCUCCCGGCUCAACUGGGAGGGUGCGCCGAAUACUGAAUGACUAGAGUGCGGGAGAGGAAAGUGGAAUUCCUGGUGUAGCGGUGAAAUGCGCAGAUAUCAGGAGGAACACCGGUGGCGAAGGCGGGUCCCUGGACAACACCUGACACUGAGGCACGAAAGCUAGGGGAGCAAACAGG
rnacentral:rRNA from 1 species